UAUUCCUGACUCGUGUACAGUGUAGAUUAUUCCUGACUCGUGUACAGUGUAGAUUAUUCCUGACUCGUGUACCGUGUAGGUUAUUCCUGACUCGUGUAUAGUGUAGAUUAUUCCUGACUCGUGUACCGUGUAGAUUAUCCCUGACUCGUGUAUCGUGUAUCCUGCUCAGGAAGAGUUCAGUUCCUCGACGCAGCGCUGGUUCACGUCGAGCCGUAUGGAAAUAGUAUGAAAAGUUACGUUACUAUGGAAAGUUGAAGCGUGUUGUUCUAUAACGGAGCUGUUCAAAUUCACCGUCUAGUCCGAAUAACUGUGUGUGCAAAUGUCCUGUGUGACACGCUGAGGUGUGUGUGUGUGUGUGUGUGUGCGUGUGUGUAGGGUGUGUAUGUGUGCGUGUGUGCGUGUGUGUGUAUGUAGGGUGUGUGACUGUUAGGUCUUUCUCACACCCACACACACUUAAAUAAAGAAAGAGGGUUCAGAUAUAAUGACACACGGGUACAAUGGCAAUGCAACACACUACACAACUAAUAAAUAUAACAACAGUCUAAAUAAACAGGUGAAGUAAUAAUAUAUAAUAUUCAGGACAGAAUAAAUCUGCUUAAGACUUAACACUCCGUGUCACGCUGUGAAAGGAAAAUAAUGAGUGGCACGGUGCAGCGAUGAGGCGGAGUUACUGUUACACACAGAGGACCAUUAUUUCCCUCUGAAGACGAAUAUAUGUUUGAACCCACCCCUUUUUCAGUUGAUCAAAAAGUAUUGGAACAUGUGACCGAUAGGUGUUUCUUGUUACCCGGGUGUGUCCUGUUAGACUGAUUGUUUACAGAAUUAAUAGCUCUGAAUGUCUACUCUGGGUUUGGACUGCGUUUGUUGUUUAAAAAGGAUAAACCAACACGAAGACCGGAGAGCUGUCUGUGGGAGAAAAGCGAGCCGUUUUGAAGCUGAGAGAAAAUGUCGAGGGAAAAUCAAUCACAAACAUUGUGUAUAGAGAACACAACCGUUUGGAAUGUCCUGAAAAAGAAAGAAACCGCCGGUGUACUGAGGAACAGACACCGAACGGGUCGGCCGAGGAAAACCACAGCAGCCGAUGACGAACAUUGUGAGAGCCGUGAAGAAAAACCCAAAAACAACAGACAGUGACGUCCAACAACCUCCACAGGGCAGGGUGAAGGUCACAAUCCACCGUUAGA
ensembl:lncRNA